rnacentral:rRNA from 1 species
AGCGAACGCUGGCGGCAGGCUUAACACAUGCAAGUCGAGCGGGCAUCUUCGGAUGUCAGCGGCAGACGGGUGAGUAACACGUGGGAACGUACCCUUCGGUUCGGAACAACUCUGGGAAACUGGAGCUAAUACCGGAUACGCCCUUAUGGGGAAAGGUUUACUGCCGAAGGAUCGGCCCGCGUCUGAUUAGCUAGUGGGUGGGGUAACGGCCUACCAAGGCGACGAUCAGUAGCUGGUCUGAGAGGAUGACCAGCCACACUGGGACUGAGACACGGCCCAGACUCCUACGCGGGGCGGCGGUGGGGAGUAUUGGACGAUGGGCGCAAGCCUGGUCCAGCCAUGCGGCGUGAGUGAUGAAGGCCUUAGGGUUGUAAAGCUCUUUUGUCCGGGACGAUAAUGACGGUACCGGAAGAAUAAGCCCCGGCUAACUUCGUG